rnacentral:rRNA from 1 species
AACGAACGUUUGCGGCGUGCCUGAUGCAUGCAAGUCGUACGCUUCAAUGAUUCGCAAGGAUUUUUGGGGAGUGGCGGACGGCUGAGUAACACGUAAGUUACCUACCUCUAAGUGGGGGAUAACUUGCCGAAAGGCAAGCUAAUACCGCAUGUGAAGUAUUUUUAAAGCCUUCGGGCGCUUGGAGAUGGGCUUGCGUCUGAUUAGCUCGUUGGUAGGGUAAUGGCCUACCAAGGCAAUGAUCAGUAGCUGGUCUGAGAGGACGACCAGCCAGACAGGGACUGCGACACGGCCCUGACUCCUACGGGAGGCAGCAGCAAGGAAUUUUGCGCAAUGGGCGAAAGCCUGACGCAGCGACGCCGCGUGAGGGAUGAAGACUUUCGGGUUGUAAACCUCUUUUCUUGAGGAAGAAUUAUGACGGUACUCAAGGAAUAAGUCAUGGCUAACUACGUGCCAGCCGCCGCGGUAAGAC